GCGGGGGGGGGAGCGUGGGCGGAGAGCGCUGGCGCAUGCGCAGAAGCGAUCGUGCCCCCCCUGAGGCGACCGUUAACGGCCGGGGGCUGAGGGGAGGGAGGGAGGCGGCGGCUCCUCAGCGCUCCCAUCAGCGGCGCCGCCGCUCCGGGGGCCCUGUCACGGCAGCCGCCCCGCUGCUCCCGGCCGAGGUUUAAUCUCCCGCUGCCCUACAUAGCGGUGAGAGGCGAGGAGGGGCCGGGCAGGCUCCCAGCUCUCGUGAUCCGCCGGUUUCCUCAGCACCUCAGCGCUGGGUGUUCAGCCCCCCCUCCCCCCCAACCCGUGCCCCCCGCCCCAGCCGCGCUGGGAUUUAAGCUGCACACACGCAGUAAAUUUGGCCGAGUCCAGCCCCGAGAGCGCAGGCAGAUGCGGAGGAGCUCCCGCAGAAGGAACGAGCUGACAGAAGUGGCGGGCACCGCAGCUGCAAGGCUUCUCCCGGUGGCAGCCACUGCCUCUUGCUGCAGCAGGGCCGGCUGCAGCAAGCCUGCUGCAGAGCGGUGUGUGAGGCCAGAGGAAAGGGUGCGCAGCCUCCCUCUGAAAGCCCAGUGGGGCCACGCAUGCCAACGCAGGGAUGUGCCCCUCAUGUGGUGGCAGAAAGGGGCCCGCUUCCUCCCGUGAGACGCUCCGACGUUGGCUUGGUUCAGCUGCCCCUCCGCAAGCCUCCCUGGCAAAGGCUCCAGAAAUAACUUGGGAUGUUUUGUUUCAGUUGCACGGUACAAUUUGAUCUGCCCCUUGCUAAUAAACCCCACUGGUUGCCGAGCCACAAAAUCAGGACUGAAUUCCUCUUCGCGUGCCCCAGAGAAAGGAACAGCUUGGAAGUCGCAUGUGGUAGGUGCUUCCCCCGUCACCUUUUUGCAGUGAGGACCAGGGGAUAUCCCCAUCCAACCUGGGCAGACAAGGAGCCCGUGCUAUUUGUGUAGAUGAGGCAGAAUUUGCUGCCUCCCUGGCAAGGAAUGGGUGACACAAUGCCUGGGCACAUGCUGCUUGGAAAGAGCCACCUUGCUAAUGUUGGAGGCGGUCAGGAGGCUGGAACUGCACAGGUUAACGCAUCGUUUCAAGGGGGUUUGGAUGAUAAAUCCAGCUGCAAGCAGCAUGCAGAACAGGUCAUGCUCCACUGCCCGGUGUGUUCCGGGGCUGCCACGUGCCUUCAACAGGCUCCUUCUGCCUUGCCAAGCUCAGCUGGCAGAAGGAACGAGCACAUGCGUGGAGGAGAGAUGCCACUUCACACGGGGCAAUGAAAGGCAGAUGUCAGACCACACAUGGCAGAGGCAGCGCACACAGCUCGGCGAGGGGCUCGCAGCAGAGCUUUUAUCCAGCCAGCAGCUAAAUGAAGGAUCUUUCUUCAGAGGGCUGUCACCAGGCCUGAAGUGCACCAGCACCUGCAGAUCCGACUGCGAGGGUUAUCAGGCCUGCCUCCCUGACACCUUGAGGCCCCGAGGAAGUGUUGGACACUCAGACUUCUCCAGUACAACCGGGUUUAUCACAAGGAGCUGAGGCUGGCAGGUUGAAUUUCACCAGGACCUUUCCGAAAGAACAUCUGAACACUUCCUGGCACCUCUUCUAUGGGGUUGAGAUGCUGCUGGAGGUGACGGGCAUCUGCGGAGCUGCGAGGACACCCAGAAUGACAGCAGCAAGGAAGGCUGCGGCCAAACCAGCAAGAAGAACAGCAGAUUAUACUGAAGGAUGGCAGAAAGCACAAACAACGCAGUGCCAGCAGUCCUCCCUUUGCUUCCCCCGAUACGGUAAGGAAAAAAGGCU